rnacentral:tRNA from 1 species
UUAAUUGAAACCAAAAAGAGGUAUACCACUGUUAAUGGUAAAACUGAGCCAAAAUUCCAAUUAAA